GACAGAGGGGGCAAGCGUUGCUCGGAAUUACUGGGCGUAAAGGGCGCGUAGGCGGGAUGGCAAGUCGGUCGUGAAAUCCCUCGGCUCAACUGAGGAUCGUCGAUCGAUACUGCCGUUCUUGAGGAUUGCAGAGGAGACUGGAAUUCCCGGUGUAGCGGUGAAAUGUGUAGAGAUCGGGAGGAACACCAGUGGCGAAGGCGGCCAUCUGGCCUGGAAUUGACGCUGAGGCGCGAAAGCGUGGGGAGCAAACAGG
rnacentral:rRNA from 1 species